rnacentral:rRNA from 1 species
UGAGGAAUAUUGGUCAAUGGGCGUAAGCCUGAACCAGCCAAGUCGCGUGAGGGAUGAAGGUUCUAUGGAUCGUAAACCUCUUUUAUAAGGGAAUAAAGUGCGGGACGUGUCCCGUUUUGUAUGUACCUUAUGAAUAAGGAUCGGCUAACUCCGUGCCAGCAGCCGCGGUAAUACGGAGGAUCCGAGCGUUAUCCGGAUUUAUUGGGUUUAAAGGGUGCGUAGGCGGUCUGUUAAGUCAGCGGUAAAAUUGCGGGGCUCAACCUCGCCGAGCCGUUGAAACUGGGGGGCUUGAGUAUGUUUGAGGCAGGCGGAAUGCGUGGUGUAGCGGUGAAAUGCAUAGAUAUCACGCAGAACCCCGAUUGCGAAGGCAGCCUGCCAAGCCAUGACUGACGCUGAUGCACGAAAGCGUGGGGAUCAAACAGGAUUAGAUACC